UGGCGGACGGGUGAGUAACGCGUGGGUAACCUGCCUCAUACAGGGGGAUAACGGUUAGAAAUGACUGCUAAUACCGCAUAAGCGCACAGUACCGCAUGGUACGGUGUGAAAAACUCCGGUGGUAUGAGAUGGACCCGCGUCUGAUUAGCUGGUUGGUGAGGUAACGGCCUACCAAGCCGACGAUCAGUAGCCGACCUGAGAGGGUGACCGGCCACAUUGGGACUGAGACACGGCCCAA
rnacentral:rRNA from 1 species